rnacentral:rRNA from 1 species
ACGGAAGGCAGCAGUAGGGAAUAUUGCGCGAUGGGGGGGACCCUGACGCAGCCAUGCCGCGUGCGUGAAGAAGGCCUUCGGGUUGUAAAGCGCUUUGACACGCGAGGAAGGGUGGAUAUCCAAUAAAUAUCUAUUUUGACGUUAGCGUGAGAACAAGGACCGGCAAACUCCGUGCCAGCAGCCGCGGUAAUACGGGGGGUCCGAGCGUCAAUCGGAAUGACUGGGCGUAAAGGGCACGCAGGCGGGCAAUCAAGCCCGACGUGAAAUCUCCGGGCUCAACCCGGAAACGGCGUCGGGAACUGGUUGCCUGGAGUGCGGCAGGGGGAGGCGGAAUUCCGGGUGUAGCGGUGAAAUGCGUAGAGAUCCGGAAGAACACCGAAGGCGAAGGCAGCCUCCUGGGCCAGCACUGACGCUCAAGUGCGAAAGCGUGGGGAGCGAACAGGAUUAGAUACCCUGGUA